GGGCACUCGUCACCAUACUUGCUCUUAUUUCCUGUGACUUAACGAGUUAUACGACUGCUUCAGGUAUCAAACAGUUUGUCAACAAACUGGAGCCAGUAUGGACAGUCAGAACAACUCGAAGAGCACUUAUUAAGUGCGAGAUGGAUCAAGUUUUGUUGAUUAGACCACUGUCGUCUACAUUCAGAAGACGUGUUUUCCUGAACGGCACAAGACGUGACUUUCAAAUAUAUGGAGUAUUUGACACAGAGCACCUGGAGAGAAUGACUGUAAUAGAAAGAGACACCUUCAUCAGAGUUGAAAAACUGGAGUUCUUGUCACGUGACCAGUCAUGUGCUGUUAUUAAGGUCGAGUCACUUACAGACUGGCACGAGGUCUACUACGACCUCCGCGUGACAGAUAUGUUCGUGCGUGUAAGACCACUUCCCGCUUGUCGAAACUAUUUUAAACAAGUCAUAGGAAAUCUACCAUCGUUAUACGUUUACAAUCCCCAAUGUCAUCGGCUAAUGGGACAAGAAAGUUAAGGGUAUAUAUUCUGUUACCAGAAUAAUAUUUGUUUCUUCAAAAUAAACAACUUUCACAUGAA